GCUCCGCUUGCUCUUCUUGUUCCAGAUGAGCAGUGUGCUGGCGCUUUUGCUGUUCAUCAGGCUCUUCCGGCUGUUCUCCUUGUUGCUUUUCAGCAGCCCACUGCCAGAGGACAUUGCUGCUGCUUUCUUCUCUGCAGCUUUUGGCCCCUCCGAGCCCUGCAGGGUUAUCACUCCGAUCUCCACGCCCUCCUCCCCAGUGCUCUUCAGCAGCUGCACCACCUCGGCAUGCUUGGAC
rnacentral:lncRNA from 1 species